rnacentral:rRNA from 1 species
UUGACCUCGGAUCAGUAGGAACCCC